GACGAACGCUGGCGGCGUGCUUAACACAUGCAAGUCGAACGAAGAGCGAUGGAAGCUUGCUUCUAUCAAUCUUAGUGGCGAACGGGUGAGUAACGCGUAAUCAACCUGCCCUUCAGAGGGGGACAACAGUUGGAAACGACUGCUAAUACCGCAUACGAUCUAAUCUCGGCAUCGAGGAUAGAUGAAAGGUGGCCUCUACAUGUAAGCUAUCACUGAAGGAGGGGAUUGCGUCUGAUUAGCUAGUUGGAGGGGUAACGGCCCACCAAGGCGAUGAUCAGUAGCCGGUCGGAGAGGAUGAACGGCCAGAUUGGGAGUGAGACACGGCCCAGACUCCUACGGGAGGCAGCAGUGGGGAAUCUUCCGCAAUGGACGAAAGUCUGACGGAGCAACGCCGCGUGAGUGAUGACGGCCUUCGGGUUGUAAAGCUCGGUUAAUCGGGACGAAAGGCCUUCUUGCGAAUAGUGAGAAGGAUUGACGGUACCGGAAUAGAAAGCCACGGCUAACUACGUG
rnacentral:rRNA from 1 species